AGAGUUUGAUCCUGGCUCAGAUUGAACGCUGGCGGCAGGCCUAACACAUGCAAGUCGAGCGGAUGAGUGGAGCUUGCUCCAUGAUUCAGCGGCGGACGGGUGAGUAAUGCCUAGGAAUCUGCCUGGUAGUGGGGGACAACGUUUCGAAAGGAACGCUAAUACCGCAUACGUCCUACGGGAGAAAGCAGGGGACCUUCGGGCCUUGCGCUAUCAGAUGAGCCUAGGUCGGAUUAGCUAGUUGGUGAGGUAAAGGCUCACCAAGGCGACGAUCCGUAACUGGUCUGAGAGGAUGAUCAGUCACACUGGAACUGAGACACGGUCCAGACUCCUACGGGAGGCAGCAGUGGGGAAUAUUGGACAAUGGGCGAAAGCCUGAUCCAGCCAUGCCGCGUGUGUGAAGAAGGUCUUCGGAUUGUAAAGCACUUUAAGUUGGGAGGAAGGGCAGUAAGUUAAUACCUUGCUGUUUUGACGUUACCGGCAGAAUAAGCACCGGCUAACUUCGUGCCAGCAGCCGCGGUAAUACGAAGGGUGCAAGCGUUAAUCGGAAUUACUGGGCGUAAAGCGCGCGUAGGUGGUUCGUUAAGUUGGAUGGU
rnacentral:rRNA from 1 species